UAUCUCUAACUUUCUGACAGGAAGUGGAUUUGAUAAGAGGUCAGGUGCAGCAGCUCAUUUCCUUACCGAUGUGGAUGGCUCUACAACCUAAACGACUGGAGCAAGAGCUGAAAAAGACACCAAAACUAAGAAAAUUCUGGAAUCUAAUUAAGAAAAUGAUGAGAAAAUGGAUGAGGAGGCAAGAAUGCAAGCAUAUCGAGAGAGAAGAUUUCUUUCACAGCUCAUUCAAAAAUUCAUUUCUGUGCUAAAAUCAAUACCUGUCUCAGGUAACUCUGGUUCUUGUGUUAUUUUGUUAUCUUGUAACAUGUCUUAAAUUCUUUUCUUGUAUUGAAGAGUAACUACUUAAGUUACCAGCCUGAGGUUGGAGACCUUAUCUAUACAGGGUUUUGGUGAUAAGCCUGUCUGCAUGGCUUAUAUCAUGGAUAUAUUUCAUGUCAAAGUUAGUAUUUGUAUUUACAUAUGCUUUAAAAAUGAAAUAGUGGAAAGUUACUUUGAACAUGUUCUAUUUAGGUU